rnacentral:rRNA from 1 species
AUGAACGCUGACAGAAUGCUUAACACAUGCCAGUCACCUUGAAUUUGGGUUUUUAACUUAGGUUUGGGUGGCGGACGGGUGAGUAACGCGUAAAGAACUUGCCUCACAGCUAGGGACAACAUUUGGAAACGAAUGCUAAUACCUAAUAUUAUGAUAAUAGGGCAUCCUAUAAUUAUGAAAGCUAUAAGCGCUGUGAGAGAGCUUUGCGUCCCAUUAGCUAGUUGGAGAGGUAACGGCUCGCCAAGGCGAUGAUGGGUAGCCGGCCUGAGAGGGUGAUCGGCCACAAGGGGACUGAGACACGGCCCUUACUCCUACGGGAGGCAGCAGUGGGGAAUAUUGGACAAUGGACCAAGAGUCUGAUCCAGCAAUUCUGUGUGCACGAUGAAGUUUUUCGGAAUGUAAAGUGCUUUCAGUUGGGAAGAAAGAAAUGACGGUACCAACAGAAGAAGUGACGGCUAAAUUCGUG